rnacentral:rRNA from 1 species
UACGUAGGGUGCAAGCGUUAAUCGGAAUUACUGGGCUUAAAGCGUGCGUAGGCGGUUAUUUAAGUCGGGUGUGAAAGCCCCGGGCUCAACCUGGGAAUUGCAUUCGAGACUGAAUAGCUAGGGUACGGUAGAGGGAAGCGGAAUUUCCGGUGUAGCGGUGAAAUGCGUAGAUAUCGGAAGGAACAUCAGUGGCGAAAGCAGCUUGCUGGACCAGUGCUGACGUUCAGGCACGAAAGCGUGGGGAGCAAACGGG